rnacentral:tRNA from 1 species
GCCUGGCUAACUCAAUUGGCAGAGUGUCAGACUCUUAUCUGAUCUGAAAGCUGCGGGUUCGACCCCCGCGUCGGGCU